rnacentral:sRNA from 1 species
GUACAAGUACUACAAGCAGAAGCACUGCCAUUGAGUGCCACUCACUGCCAGUGUCUUGAGUAUGAGUUCAAGCUAUCUAGUUAAUCUAGUCUGGAGAGCUAGAUCUAGAACAGAAACGAUCAAUGUGUUCAGCAAGCUGAGGAGUAUUCAAUGUGUGAAAUUCAACAUUUCAUUUGAAAACAAAACUAUGAAAUGAUGUAGGAUAAGCAAAAAUUUGAUCCUCUUAGGCUGAGGUAAACAAUUCUCUAUUGCAAUGCAUUUUUAGUUUACCUUUGUUUUGUCUGUGUUCUCAAAGCACCCUCUUACUAGUCUUGGAUUUUCACUUAGCUCCUAGUUAUCACAUUAUUUCCUUUGUAAUUAAAACAUUUAUACCAAAGUAUUGAUAAAUAUUGAUAUUAAUUAGAAAUGUUCUUACAAUUAAUAGAAAUGCCACUAACAUCUCUUACUUUGAUCUUAUCUCCUCUUUGCUGCAUUGUUUAUUUUUUAAUUUAAGGCUAUUUUAAACCAAUACGCAUAUCAAAUAUUGUUGCUAGUUAGAAAUGCUCUUACAAUUAAUAGGAAUGCCACUAACAAUUCCUUUGCUCUUAUCUCCUAUAUAUUGCAUUGUUUCUUUUGUAAUUUAUAUUUUUAUCAUAUGAAAUAUUGAUAUUAAUUAGAAAUGUUCUUACAAUUAAUAGAAAUGCCACUAACAUCUCCUACUUUGAUUUUAUCUCCUAUUUGCUGCAUUGUUUAUUUUUUAAUUUAAGGCUAUUUUAGACCAAUACAUAUAUCAAAUAUUGAUGCUAGUUACAAAUGCUCUUACAAUUAA